GGCAUCUUCAGAAAGAAGUAUUAAAACUUUCCUAGCGUGUUAAAUUCUGCUACCUCACCAACGACAACUUGGACCUUGACCUCCAAUGUGUGUUCGACCAAAUUCCCUUCGUAGAGGCUGGGAAGAGAGGGUAUAUCGCUUUCAGCUCAGAGGCUUACGUUGAAAGAGGAAGUUUGGAGAUAAAUGCUCUUUUUCUCUUCAUGUCAGUCUGGUGAGAUGCCCCUUCAACU
rnacentral:lncRNA from 1 species